rnacentral:rRNA from 1 species
CCUACGGGGGGCUGCAGUCGGGAAUUUUCGGCAAUGGGGGGAACCCUGACCGAGCAACGCCGCGUGAGGGAAGAAGGUCUUCGGAUCGUAAACCUUUGUCAUCAGGGACGAUCAUGACGGUACCUGAGGAGGAAGCCACGGCUAACUACGUGCCAGCAGCCGCGGUAAGACGUAGGGGGCAAGCGUUACCCGGAAUUACUGGGCGUAAAGGGGGCGUAGGCGGUAAAAGAAGUCAUCUGUGAAAACCUAUUGCUCAACGAUAGGCUAGCGGAUGAAACUGAAUUACUUGAGGGCACCAGAGGUAGACGGAAUUACCCGAGUAGGGGUGAAAUCCGCAGAUACGGGUAGGAACGCCGGUGGAGAAGUCGGUCUACUGGGGUGCACCAGACGCUGAGGCCCGAAAGCUAGGGGAGCAAACCGGAUUAGAUACCCUUGUAGUC